rfam:Rhizobiales bacterium HL-109 ITZY_scaf_276, whole genome shotgun sequence.
CGUCGGCCCUCCACAGGUCGGCAACCGAAGAGGCUUGUCUCAUCAUUGCCGCAUGUGCGGAUCGGAUUUUUCCGUUCCAAACGAAGGCAGCACGACGGGUUCGACCCGCCCUACGCCGCUCAUGUCUCCACAGCAU